rnacentral:rRNA from 1 species
AUUGAACGCUGGCGGCAUGCUUUACACAUGCAAGUCGAACGGCAGCGCGGGCUUCGGCCUGGCGGCGAGUGGCGAACGGGUGAGUAAUACAUCGGAACGUGCCCAGUAGUGGGGGAUAGCUCGGCGAAAGCCGGAUUAAUACCGCAUACGACCUGAGGGUGAAGGCGGGGGAUCUUCGGACCUCGCGCUAUUGGAGCGGCCGAUGGCAGAUUAGCUAGUUGGUGGGGUAAAGGCCUACCAAGGCGACGAUCUGUAGCUGGUCUGAGAGGACGACCAGCCACACUGGGACUGAGACACGGCCCAGACUCCUACGGGAGGCAGCAGUGGGGAAUUUUGGACAAUGGGCGAAAGCCGGAUCCAGCAAUGCCGCGUGUGUGAUGAAGGCCUUCGGGUUGUAAAGCACUUUUGGCGGGAACGAAAAGGACUGUGCCAAUACCACGGUUCGAUGACGGUACCCGCAGAAUAAGCACCGGCUAACUACGUG